CAAAGCCCCAAAACAAAUAAGAAAGGAAUGUUUUGGCAGAUAUCUGCCUGAGGUUUGGAGUUGUUUACUCUCCAGUCACAUGGCAUUCAAUGCCACAGCAACUUGUGCUAAAGGCAAGAAAGUUAAAGGCAUCCUGCGGUUACAUCCCAAGGACUCAUCUCUUUUUUGCUGUGAUGCUUCAAUGCAGAGAAGCCUCCAGAGCACCAGGAAACCACACAGAAACAGGGAGUUGAGAAGACCCAAGAAAUGUCAGAUGCAACAAUAACCACAAUUACUUCCCAAGGAACAUUCAGUACAGCAACACUCCAUAUCCUUUUCUGCCACAACUGUUUUUCCACAGCAUCUGCCGGGGGCUGCCACUGCUGAGAAUGAUUCUGAAAGCUCAAGGUAUCCUGCAUGAGCUCAGCAAGCCAGGCUCACUGUUGGCAGUGGAGGAGAAAACCGAUACACUCUACUAAGGAUAGACCAAAGAGAGACUUCAUGCAACCAUGGGCUACAGCGCAGCCUAUGUCACUAAAGGCAAAACUCUUUCUCCUAAAUCAGUAUAAAACUCAUGACACCACUCCUGACUUUAAAAUAUUAUCAAUGAAAGAAGACAUGGGUUAACAAGAUUAACCAUAGAGGUGUUGCCACAUACCGAACUAUAUGACGGCAUCCUUUCAUGAAGGCAUAAAAACUCAGACAAGCGUUUUCACCGAAGCCCACCACUGAUGAGACACCCAAGCAGCUGCCUGUUGCUGCAGAUAAAAUGCUUGUCACUUCACAGCUGGCCCACCAAGUAAGAAGUCAGCUCAUAAUAAAUCCUUUUGCUGAGCCACCAAGAAGCCUGAAUUCAAUCUGAACAUGGAAUUUGAUGGGGUCCAAGCUGCCCAGGAAGGGAGGUGUCAAAAGCUGCUGGAUAAACUACUUUGCUGGAUCUAAUUGUUGAGUGGAUUAUUGUCAUUGGAUACUGCUGGGAACCAGGGAAAAAGCAGUCUUGAAGCCUUGGAUUUCUUAGCCUGCUCAAGGACAAGAAGAUUAAAAACCUGCAGGGUUCAUGGGAGACGUGUUGUUUUGCAGAAAAUACAUUUUUCAAAGAGGUGUUGCCUUCUUGGACCAAUGGGUCUUUUCUAUUCUGUUUUGCACAUACUACCCUAUAUAGUGUAGUGGUUUUUUUUAAAUAAAGCUCUCUUUUU